UUGGGGUGGUCACUCAGGGAUUCAAGGCACCUAUCAAAGAAUGAAACUUUUCUUUUACUGGCCUAACAUGAGGAAGGAUAUAGAGACUUAUGUGCAGAAGUGUGAUAUUUGCAGCAGGAGCAAGUCUGAGAAUUGUCCAUACCUUGGACUGUUAUAGCCCCUAGCUAUUCCAGAUCAAGCUUGGCAACAAAUUUCAAUGGACUUCAUAGAGGGAUUGCCUAAGUCCUUAGGCAGUGAUGCCUUCUACGUGGUCACGUGGUCGUGGACAGGCUCACUAAGUAUGAAUAUUUCAUCCCUAUAACCUCUCAUUACACUGCUAAGGGC
rnacentral:lncRNA from 1 species